GGAAGGGUAGAGAGAGUGGAAGCUAGUGAGACAAGAAAGAGGAAGGAGAAAGAAGUUCAUCAUUUUCAUAUCUCCAUUUUCGCAACCCUUGAUACAGCUCCACUAAAUCAGCUUGUUUAUUGGUGGAGAUAAACGCAUUUGAAGAUUGAUGAUUGAUGCUGAAAGUGAGUACAAGAGUGAUUACGGGUUUGAUCAUAUUAGAGGUGAAGUGUUGGUCAAAGAGAGAGUUCAAUGGCAGCAAGAGUAUUCUCAUAACCUCCAUUAAAUCCAUGGUGCAGUUUAGUAGCGUUUGACAGAUAGUAG